rnacentral:tRNA from 2 species
AGGGGCAUAGGUUUAACGGCUAGACCAGCGGUCUCCAAAACCGCGAGUGGGGGUUCGAAUCCCUCUGCCCCUGCCA